GGAAGGAUCAUUAACCAGCCGUGAAGGUCGCCCCGAAAGGGCAACGACCUUUCACCCGGCCACCCUUGCUUACUUUGACCUGUUGCUUUGGUGGGCCCGCCGUGAGGCCGCCGGGGAACUUUGAGCUCCCUGGUCCGUGCCCACCAAAGUCUUAACCGAACCCUGCAAGUUUUAUGUUGUCUGAGUGUAAAAAAGCACAAUCUUUUAAAACUUUCAACAACGGAUCUCUUGGUUCCGGCAUCGAUGAAGAACGCAGCGAAAUGCGAUAAGUAAUGUGAAUUGCAGAAUUCCGUGAAUCAUCGAAUCUUUGAACGCAUAUUGCGCCCUCUGGUAUUCCGGGGGGCAUGCCUGUCCGAGCGUCAUUACAAUCCUCAAGCACGGCUUGGUUGUUGAGCCAAUUGUCCUUAGAUGGACGGGCUUGAAAAGCAGUGGCGAUGCUGCGUCUCGGUCCGAGUGUAUGGGCUUUGUCACACACUCUGGUGACCCAGGCGGCAUUCUGUCAAACCUUUUUUAUACCUAAGAUUUGACCUCGGAUCAGGUAAGGAUACCCGCUGAACUUAAGCAUAUCAAUAAGCGGAGGAAAAGAAACCAACAGGGAUUGCCUCAGUAACGGCGAGUGAAGCGGCAAAAGCUCAAAUUUGAAAUCUGGCUUCCAUUUCUGGGGCCCGAGUUGUAAUUUGUAGAGGAUGCUUUGGGUGUGGCUGCGGUCUAAGUCCCCUGGAACGGGGCAUCAUAGAGGGUGAGAAUCCCGUCUGGGACCGCUAGCCACGUCUAUGUAAAGCUCCUUCGACGAGUCGAGUUGUUUGGGAAUGCAGCUCUAAAUGGGUGGUAAAUUUCAUCUAAAGCUAAAUAUUGGCCGGAGACCGAUAGCGCACAAGUAGAGUGAUCGAAAGAUGAAAAGCACUUUGAAAAGAGAGUUAAACAGCAUGUGAAAUUGUUGAAAGGGAAGCGCUUGCGACCAGACUCGGCCGCGGAGGCUCAGCCGGCAUUUUUUGGCGGUGCAUUUCUCCGCAGUCGAGCCAGCGUCGGUUUUGGCGGCUGGUCAAAGGCCCUCGGAAUGUGUCGCCUCUCGGGGCGUCUUAUAGCCGGGGGUGCAAUGCAGCCUGUCGAGACCGAGGAACGCGCUCCGGCACGGACGCUGGCGUAAUGGUCGUAAGCGACCCGUCUUGAAACACGGACCAAGGAGUCUAACAUCCACGCGAGUGUUCGGGUGUCAAACCCGUGCGCGCAGUGAAAGCGAACGGAGGUGGGAACCCUUUGGGUGCACCAUCGACCGAUCCUGAUGUCUUCGGAUGGAUUUGAGUAAGAGCAUGGCUGUUGGGACCCGAAAGAUGGUGAACUAUGCCUGAAUAGGGUGAAGCCAGAGGAAACUCUGGUGGAGGCUCGCAGCGGUUCUGACGUGCAAAUCGAUCGUCAAAUUUGGGUAUAGGGGCGAAAGACUAAUCGAACCAUCUGGUAGCUGGUUCCUGC
rnacentral:misc_RNA from 1 species